GACGAACGCUGGCGGCGUGCCUAAUACAUGCAAGUUGAGCGCUGAAGGUUGGUACUUGUACCAACUGGAUGAGCAGCGAACGGGUGAGUAACGCGUGGGGAAUCUGCCUUUGAGCGGGGGACAACAUUUGGAAACGAAUGCUAAUACCGCAUAAAAACUUUAAACACAAGUUUUAAGUUUGAAAGAUGCAAUUGCAUCACUCAAAGAUGAUCCCGCGUUGUAUUAGCUAGUUGGUGAGGUAAAGGCUCACCAAGGCGAUGAUACAUAGCCGACCUGAGAGGGUGAUCGGCCGCAUUGGGACUGAGACACGGCCCAAACUCCUACGGGAGGCAGCAGUAGGGAAUCUUCGGCAAUAGACGAAAGUCUGACCGAGCAACGCCGCGUGAGUGAAGAAGGUUUUCGGAUCGUAAAACUCUGUUGGUAGAGAAGAACGUUGGUGAGAGUGGAAAGCUCAUCAAGUGACGGUAACUACCCAGAAAGGGACGGCUAACUACGUG
rnacentral:rRNA from 1 species